UCGAUCGCUGGCACCUCCGUGUUUAGGCAAUAGAAGACACCACAGUGCUGGAAUAGAAAGGACAAGAGAAGGAAUUGGUCUGCGUUUGGUUUGGACAAUACCCAAUUCGUCGUUUUUGUGGGUUUGGGAAGGAUUUUGAUCCCGGGUUGUCAGUAUUGAGUAACAGUCAUACCAUACGAUGAGAAAUGAAGAUUUACAAGCGGCAGCAUGGAAGGUUACAAUGAUGAUGGUGUCAAGGUAUUUUCAGGCGAACACUGGUUGCUGCAACCAAAUCAGAACCUUCUGGUGUUGCUUCUAUGGCUAAGAUGACGGCUCACAACCCAUUUGAGGAGUUCUUUGAAGCAGGUCUAAGUUGGAAGACAUCAAAAAGUGCGUCUGAAGUUUUGGAAUGAUCUCAAUGAGCUAUGAUUUGGAUCCCCCGAUGACAUGCCGGACCCAAUUUGUUAUCUCAAGCAACCCAGAAAUAGCUGGUAUUGUCCCAGAACCAGACAUUGACAGAAUCAUUUAAAGGUGAAGAAUUGCUGUUAUCCCAUCGGAAAGACUGAAAAUUUUGUUCCAGUGCACAAGGCAAGAGCACACCAAAAUUGCCGCAGAUGCAUGCCAAACAAGAUUAAAGGCCAAAACUCCAAUGACAUCUACUUUUUGCUCACUACAUGGAAUCCUCUGAACUACAAUGACAUGAACCAUUUUUUGAAAAGCUAAUGGCUUUACACUUUUGAACAAUGUCAGUCAGCAACCAGUGAAGCCAUGAAAAUCCUUUUUGCUCCCUGCAUGGCAAUAUUUUGUAAUGAAAUCAGACUAAUCAUUUUUUGAUAAACCAAUGGUUUAUACAUAUGAUGCAUGUAAAAGGCAUCUCCCAGACCUAGGGUAAAACAAUGUAUUCUAUUAUUGAAUGAAUGCCCCUUUCA